rnacentral:tRNA from 2 species
CGAUAGGUAUUGAUUUUACAGGACCAAUUUACGCAUUCGUAAUGCGAAGGUCGUAGGUUCGACUCCUAUUAUCGCACCA